GUAGGUGGCAAGCGUUGUCCGGAAUUAUUGGGCGUAAAGCGCGCGCAGGCGGUUUUUAAGGUCUGAUGUGAAAGCCCGCGGGCUCAACCGUGGAGGGUCAUUGGAAACUGGAGAACUUGAGUACAGAAGAGGAAAGCGGAAUUCCACGUGUAGCGGUGAAAUGCGUAGAGAUGUGGAGGAACACCAGUGGCGAAGGCGGCUUUCUGGUCUGUAACUGACGCUGAGGCGCGAAAGCGUGGGGAGCAAACAGGAUUAGAUACCCUGGUAGUCCACGCCGUAAACGAUGAGUGCUAAGUGUUAGGGGGUUUCCGCCCCUUAGUGCUGCAGCUAACGCAUUAAGCACUCCGCCUGGGGAGUACGGCCGCAAAGGCUG
rnacentral:rRNA from 1 species